CAGCAGCCACGGGAAUACGUAGGUGGCAAGCGUUGUCCGGAAUUAUUGGGCGUAAAGGGCUCGCAGGCGGUUUCUUAAGUCUGAUGUGAAAGCCCCCGGCUCAACCGGGGAGGGUCAUUGGAAACUGGGAAACUUGAGUGCAGAAGAGGAGAGUGGAAUUCCACGUGUAGCGGUGAAAUGCGUAGAGAUGUGGAGGAACACCAGUGGCGAAGGCGACUCUCUGGUCUGUAACUGACGCUGAGGAGCGAAAGCGUGGGGAGCGAACAGGAUUAGAUACCCCUGUAGUCCCUGUCUCUUAUAA
rnacentral:rRNA from 1 species